UUCAUGCACACAGAGCCAGGGUGUGCCUGGCCCAGGAGGAGCUGAACAGAUCCGUGGGCUGCUGAUGUGUCCCUGGGCCUGUGGAGCACCAUCCUCGUUGCACACGGAUCCAGGAUGGAAAAAAGCCUGGCCCUGGAGCAGGGGGGUCCCCAUUCCUGCCCCACAUCCCCUCUCUGGAGGCUGUGGGUGGAGGUGCAAGGGCGUGAGCCCCUUGCCGGCCGCGGCGCCCCGACACGUGUCACAAUAGUAAUGUAAUUUGUCCGUUAACAAUGGGCAGCUUGAGGUUUAUAUUUAAUUACACCGAUCGCACCAACCUGAACUCACCCUUAUUCAUCAAUAAUGCAUGGGUUUGUGUUUA